CGAUCGUCUGCCACAAAUUCAUUCACGUGCACCUGUAUCGAAUAACACGUGACGUUCGAUUGAUCAAUUGUCAUUAAAAAUAAUAUUAUUUGUAGUAAAAAAAAAAAAUAAGAUCAAAUAUUUAUCAAAGAAGCUUUACGAAUGUGCUUUACUAAAAGUGAAGAUUAAGAUGAAAAAAGAAAACGAAGCAAAUAAUCAUAAUGAUACCAACAACAACGGAAUUAUGAA
rnacentral:lncRNA from 1 species